rnacentral:tRNA from 1 species
GGAAGGAUCGCAUAGUGGUCGAGUGCGCUCGCUUGGAAAGCGAGUAGGCUGUCACAGGCCUCCGGGGUUCGAAUCCCCGUCCUUCCGCCA